AUUGAACGCUGGCGGCAGGCCUAACACAUGCAAGUCGAACGCGUGGCGGACGGGUGAGUAAUGUCUGGGAAACUGCCUGAUGGAGGGGGAUAACUACUGGCAACGGUAGCUAAUACCGCAUACCAUCAGAUGUGCCCAGAUGGGAUUAGCUUGUUGGUGGGGUAACGGCUCACCAAGGCGACGAUCCCUAGCUGGUCUGAGAGGAUGACCAGCCACACUGGAACUGAGAUAUGGUCCAGACUCCGACGUGAGGGAGCAGGGGGGAAGAUUGCACAAGGGGCGAAAGUCUGAUGCAGCAAUGCCGCGUGUAUGAAGAAGGCCUUCGGGUUGGAAAGUACUUUCAGCGUGGAGGCGUUACCCGCAGAAGAAGCACCGGCUAACUCCGGGCCAGCCGCCGCGGUAAUAC
rnacentral:rRNA from 1 species